AGGCAACGUCGGCGUCAGGCGGUCGGGCGGCACCAGAUGACCGGCCGGAGCAGCUCUCAAUAUGGAGCCAGAACAAAGGUCCGACUGGCACUCAGGUGGAAGCCCCGCUCGCCCCGAUACCUUUUCAUAGGGCUCUGUUCUAAACACCCUCAGAAGAACGCAUAGACGCGAGAAGAUCGUCGAAAGGAUCGUCUCCUUCGGAAAUCUAGCGAUUAGAAUCGUAAGGAAAUCCGAACAGGAGAUAAAGGUAAAGGAAAGAUGGACUAGCGGAGGCUGGAGGGCAAUGCUACGAAGAUGUGAGGAUGACUCUCAGGAUAUGAUGGAAGGCCUUCAGACGGAGUAGACGAGGAGGCGAGAUGGACGCAUGAUACUGUCCGAAUGUCUAGGAGUGCAGAGCAUACUAGUUUCAUUGUGAGAUUUUUUUUUAUUAUAUGUAAAGAGGGAUGUUUGGGGAUUAUUGCCCUUAUUCAUUAAACUCCUAAUCGAUGCAGUCAUUCCCCUUGGUUAA